rnacentral:misc_RNA from 1 species
GAUGAAGAACGCAGCGAAAUGCGAAAAGUAAUGUGAAUUGCAGAAUUCAGUGAACCAUCGAAUCUUUGAACGCACAUUGCGCCCGCUGGAACUCCGGCGGGCACGCCUGUCCGAGCGUCAUUUCAACCCUCAGGCCCCCCUUCGCGGGCGGGCCUGGUGUUGGGGCCCGGCCGCUACCCUGCGGCCGUCCCCUAAAUCCAGUGGCGGCCUCGCCGUGAUCCCUUGCGUAGUAAUGCACCUCGCACCGGAGAGCGCCGUGGCCACGCCGUAAAACCCCCAAUUUUCAAUGGUUGACCUCGGAUCAGGUGGGAAUACCCGCUGAACUUAAGCAUAUCAAUAAGCGGAGA